rnacentral:tRNA from 1 species
GCCCGAAUGGCGGAAUGGUAGACGCAAAGGACUUAAAAUCCUUCGGGGGCGACCUCGUGCCGGUUCGAGUCCGGCUUCGGGCA